rnacentral:lncRNA from 1 species
GGGCAUAGAAAUAUAUCAAAUCCAAUCACUUAUCAUUAUAUAUCUCAAUCAGAAGGUGAUAAUUCAGUUGAUGAUACAUUAGAAACUCUUUUCUAAUAAUCAUCUUACUUUGAUCAAAGACUUUCAAAAUCACCAUCCUAUGAGAUCACAUAGGAUGUUCACUCUCUUUAUUAGGAGUGACUGAUCUCUCAUUGAUCACUCACAACCUCCAUGCACUCUUUACUAUAUCCAGAAUACCCCACACAAGGAUCAGAGAAUCAAGUUAGGUAGUGAACCAAAACAUGGAUCUAAGUACACAAGGUACCAUGGUGACCUCAGAUCUCAAGAUCACUUAUACAACUCCCACUAGAGAAUCAUCAGUUGAUAUGUAAAUAAGACUCCAUCUGAUAUUUUCUCGUAGGUCAAUUCAGAGAACUCAUUCUCUAAUGAGCACGCAUAUCCUUGUAUUAGUGUUACCACACAAAUGAUUGUGAGAUCAACCAUCCUUAUUUCUGAGAAUACAUAGGACAUAUCAAUCUUACCAGUAUCAUUGAUCCCCGACUCAAUAU